rnacentral:rRNA from 1 species
AGCGAACGCUGGCGGCAGGCCUAACACAUGCAAGUCGAACGAACUCUUCGGAGUUAGUGGCGGACGGGUGAGUAACACGUGGGAACGUGCCUUUAGGUUCGGAAUAACUCAGGGAAACUUGUGCUAAUACCGAAUGUGCCCUUCGGGGGAAAGAUUUAUCGCCUUUAGAGCGGCCCGCGUCUGAUUAGCUAGUUGGUGAGGUAAUGGCUCACCAAGGCGACGAUCAGUAGCUGGUCUGAGAGGAUGAUCAGCCACAUUGGGACUGAGACACGGCCCAAACUCCUAAGGGAGGCAGCAGUGGGGAAUCUUGCGCAAUGGGCGAAAGCCUGACGCAGCCAUGCCGCGUGAAUGAUGAAGGUCUUAGGAUUGUAAAAUUCUUUCACCGGGGAAGAUAAUGACGGUACCCGGAGAAGAAGCCCCGGCUAACUUCGUGCCAGCCGCCGCAGUAA